rnacentral:tRNA from 1 species
GCCCGCUAUCGGAGUCGAACCGAUGACCAUCGCAUUACAAGUGCGGUGCUCUGA